CUUUAGAAUAAGGUGCGUUAUCACAGGCAUUCCAAUCUUUCCUUUGUUUCCUCUGUGAAAAUCACUGCUUAUGACCUGAGACAACAGCAUAGAAAAAGAAGGUGUUCAAAAACUAUUUAUUCUUGAAUAUGACAUUAUGGCAUUUUCGAUUUGACUCCUGAAGAGGGAGAAACAAGGUGAAGAACUCAAGAAUUUUAGAGUCCGUGGCUUGAAACCAUGAAAAAAAAAAACAACCCAACAACUUUUGAGGAUGAUUUCUUACCGAAGUUAGAGAUCUGUCACGGGCAAAGUCCACCCUUGCCCACGACUCCAGGGUAUCCCGACUGGUGGUGAACAAUCAGUCAACAAAAAUAACAAAUGGAAGACAGCUUAAUCAUAACAGCCAUAGGAUUGUUUUGUACCUGAUAGCUGCUCCACUAUCCUGAUGUCUGAUCUUUAUUUUUAUACCCAUUUUCUUGGCAUGCAGAUACACAAAAAUCAAAGAGAGAUAAUUGGAAAAGUGAUACAUUAACUUUUAACAAAUCACUUGAUUAACUUUCUAUAUUUUUGUAUUGUGAUUACAGACAGAAUAAAGGUUGCA